GAUGAACGCUGGCGGCGUGCCUAAUACAUGCAAGUCGAGCGAACGGACGAGAAGCUUGCUUCUCUGAUGUUAGCGGCGGACGGGUGAGUAACACGUGGAUAACCUACCUAUAAGACUGGGAUAACUUCGGGAAACCGGAGCUAAUACCGGAUAAUAUUUUGAACCGCAUGGUUCAAAAGUGAAAGACGGUCUUGCUGUCACUUAUAGAUGGAUCCGCGCUGCAUUAGCUAGUUGGUAAGGUAACGGCUUACCAAGGCAACGAUGCAUAGCCGACCUGAGAGGGUGAUCGGCAACACUGGAACUGAGAAACGGUCCAGACUCCUACGGGAGGCAGCAGUAGGGAAUCUUCAGCAAUGGGCGAAAGCCUGACGGAGCAACGCCGCGUGAGUGAUGAAGGUCUUCGGAUCGUAAAACUCUGUUAUUAGGGAAGAACAUAUGUGUAAGUAACUGUGCACAUCUUGACGGUACCUAAUCAGAAAGCCACGGCUAACUACGU
rnacentral:rRNA from 1 species